rnacentral:rRNA from 1 species
GACGAACGCUGGCGGCGUGCUUAACACAUGCAAGUCGAACGGAAAGGCCCUGCUUGCAGGGUACUCGAGUGGCGAACGGGUGAGUAACACGUGGGUGAUCUGCCCUCCACUUCGGGAUAAGCCUGGGAAACUGGGUCUAAUACCGGAUAGGAGCCAUUUUUAGUGUGAUGGUUGGAAAGUUUUUUCGGUGUAGGAUGAGCUCGCGGCCUAUCAGCUUGUUGGUGGGGUAAUGGCCUACCAAGGCGGCGACGGGUAGCCGGCCUGAGAGGGUGGACGGCCACAUUGGGACUGAGAUACGGCCCAGACUCCUACGGGAGGCAGCAGGGGGGAAUAUUGCACAAGGGGCGCAAGCCUGAUGCAGCGACGCCGCGUGGGGGAUGACGGCCUUCGGGUUGUAAACUCCUUUCGCUAGGGACGAAGCUUUUUGUGACGGUACCUAGAUAAGAAGCACCGGCUAACUACGUG